rnacentral:rRNA from 1 species
GACGAACGCUGGCGGCGUGCUUAACACAUGCAAGUCGAACGGAAAGGCCCUGCUUUUGUGGGGUGCUCGAGUGGCGAACGGGUGAGUAACACGUGAGUAACCUGCCCUUGACUUUGGGAUAACUUCAGGAAACUGGGGCUAAUACCGGAUAGGAGCUCCUGCUGCAUGGUGGGGGUUGGUAAGUUUCGGCGGUUGGGGAUGGACUCGCGGCUUAUCAGCUUGUUGGUGGGGUAGUGGCUUACCAAGGCUUUGACGGGUAGCCGGCCUGAGAGGGUGACCGGCCACAUUGGGACUGAGGUACGGCCCAGACUCCUACGGGAGGCAGCAGUGGGGAAUAUUGCACAAUGGGCGGAAGCCUGAUGCAGCAACGCCGCGUGCGGGAUGGCGGCCUUCGGGUUGUAAACCGCUUUCGCCUGUGACGAAGCGUGAGUGACGGUAAUGGGUAAAGAAGCACCGGCUAACUACGUG